rnacentral:lncRNA from 1 species
UUUUCCCCUUCAUUUAUUACAUAAUUACAUUUGAAUCCCCCUGAGUAUUUAUACGAGGUCUAAAUACGAAGGUCCUAAGUAUGGUACAAACAGUAGUCCCCCAAAUCUUCAGUCAAGAGAGUCUUUUGGCUGGAGACUUGAAAUUCAGUCCAUGUGUGGGCCGAAGUAACUAGAUGUCGUCUUGAACUGAUACUCGAUAUGAGGCGGUGCCCAAUCUGAAAUGAUGCUCAACUAGAGUAGCACAUGUUGCAAGGCUGCUUUGCUUGUGGCUUAUGUUGCCUUGGUUGGCUUGGCUUGUGGC